rnacentral:rRNA from 1 species
AUUGAACGCUGGCGGCAGGCCUAACACAUGCAAGUCGAGCGGAUGAAGCGAGCUUGCUCCUGGAUUCAGCGGCGGACGGGUGAGUAAUGCCUAGGAAUCUGCCUGGUCGUGGGGGAUAACGUCCGGAAACGGGCGCUGAUACCGCAUACGUCCUGAGGGAGCCAUUGGGGGAUCUUCGGACCUCUCGCUAUCAGAUGAGCCUAGAUCGGCUUAGAUAGUUGGUGGGGUAAAGGCCUACCAAGGCGACGAUCCGUAACUGGUCUGAGAGGAUGAUCAGUCACACUGGAACUGAGACACGGUCCAGACUCCGACGGGAGGCAGCAGUGGAGAAUAUUGGACGAUGGGGGAGAGGCUGAUCCAGCCAUGCCGCGGGUGUGAAGAAGGUCUUCGGAUUGUAAAACACUUUAAGUUGGGAGGAAGGGCAGUAAGUUAAUACCUUGCUGUUUUGACGUUACCAGCAGAAGAAGCCCCGGCUAACUUCGUG